rnacentral:rRNA from 1 species
CAGAGGGUGCGAACGUUGCUCGGAAUUACUGGGCGUAAAGCGCGUGUAGGCGGGUCGGCAAGUCAGGCGUGAAAUCCCCAGGCUCAACCUGGGAACUGCGCUUGAAACUGCCGGUCUUGAGUAUCGGAGAGGGUGGCGGAAUUCCUGGUGUAGAGGUGAAAUUCGUAGAUAUCAGGAGGAACACCGGUGGCGAAGGCGGCCACCUGGACGAUUACUGACGCUGAGACGCGAAAGCGUGGGGAGCAAACAGGAUUAGAUACCCUGGUAGUCCACGCCGUAAACGAUGGGUGCUAGGUGUCUCGGGUAUUGACCCCUGAGGUGCCGUAGCUAACGCGUUAAGCACCCCCGCCUGGGAAGUACGGCCGCAAGGCUA